GAUGAACGCUGGCGGCGUGCCUAAUACAUGCAAGUCGAACGCUGAAGGAAGGAGCUUGCUCUUUCCGGAUGAGUUGCGAACGGGUGAGUAACGCGUAGGUAACCUGCCUGGUAGCGGGGGAUAACUAUUGGAAACGAUAGCUAAUACCGCAUAACAGUAGAUGUUGCAUGAUAUCUACUUAAAAGGUGCAAUUGCACCACUACCAGAUGGACCUGCGUUGUAUUAGCUAGUUGGUGAGGUAACGGCUCACCAAGGCGACGAUACAUAGCCGACCUGAGAGGGUGGUCGGCCACACUGGGACUGAGACACGGCCCAGACUCCUACGGGAGGCAGCAGUAGGGAAUCUUCGGCAAUGGACGGAAGUCUGACCGAGCAACGCCGCGGGAGUGAAGAAGGUUUUCGGAUCGUAAAGCUCGGUUGUAAGAGAAGAACGAGUGUGAGAGUGGAAAGUUCACACUGUGACGGUAUCUUACCAGAAAGGGACGGCUAACUACGUG
rnacentral:rRNA from 1 species